CCUUUGUGAGGCCAGUUCUCCUAAGCUCACUAGCGGGGAGUCCAGUUCACUAAUCACUGCAGGUCUAUUUACAAGUUUGGAGAGUUUUUAAAUUUCGAAGAACUCACAAAGUUUAUUUCAGCUUUGAGACUGACUCAACCUCCAAAGAGUCCCAUCUGAUGUUGUCUUCACUGAGGGAGAGCCAAUGGCCUGUUGCUUCUCAGAUUCAUAGCUUUUUAAGACAAAAAGAGACCAAUAUGACAGUCAACUCUAUCCUCCUGUGAGUAAGGCACAGUACUGUUUGUGAUGGUGACAUACUGGGCACAUGGAUGCUGGAAAUAGAUUUUGCCUGUGUUUCAAGUUGGAAAUAAAUCUCCUGGGUUCAUUUUGCUUUGUUCUGAUUUCUUAACUCUUGUAUUUCUGCAAGCAAUCUAGACACGACAGAAACAAAUUGAUGGAGACAGAAAUGGGAGA